CCCCGGCUAGCUCAGUCGGUAGAGCACGAGACUCUUAAUCUCGGGGACGUGGGUUCGAGUCCCGUGUUGGGCG
rnacentral:tRNA from 1 species